ACUUUUAAAGGAUAAUAGUAAUCCGUUGG
rnacentral:tRNA from 1 species